GCGCCCUUAGCUCAGCUGGUAGAGCAACUGCCUUUUAAGCAGAUGGUCGCAGGUUCGAUUCCUGCAGGGCGCACCG
rnacentral:tRNA from 3 species